UAGCCUUUACAAUGAAUUUGGGCUCGCGUAGUGCGGGAAAUCCGCUCGCUAUGUGGGAACGCGAAAUAUUGUUUAAUUAUCGCAAUCCGCCCGUCAACUCAAGGGAGUCGGAAGUACCCGAAGUUCGCCCUCGCGGCGACCUACGGUAAGUUCGAUGACAGGGAGUAAGUCGUAACAAGGCACGGGUAGCGGAAGCUGCUCGUGGAUUAUUUCAAAU
rnacentral:rRNA from 1 species